UACGGGGGGAGCAAGCGUUGUUCGGAUUUACUGGGCGUAAAGGGCGCGUAGGCGGUCAGCACAGGUCAGUUGUGAAAUCUCCGGGCUUAACUCGGAAAGGUCAACUGAUACUGUGCGACUAGAGUGCAGAAGGGGCAGCUGGAAUUCUCGGUGUAGCGGUGAAAUGCGUAGAUAUCGAGAGGAACACCUGCGGCGAAGGCGGGUUGCUGGGCUGACACUGACGCUGAUGCGCGAAAGCCAGGGGAGCGAACGGG
rnacentral:rRNA from 1 species